rnacentral:rRNA from 1 species
UUGGAGGGCAAGUCUGGUGCCAGCAGCCGCGGUAAUUCCAGCUCCAAUAGCGUAUAUUAAAGUUGUUGCAGUUAAAAAGCUCGUAGUUGAAUUUCGGGGUCAGUAGGUUGGUCAUGCCACUGGUAUGUACUGGCCUCACUGAUUCCUCCUUCCUGAUGAGCCGUAAUGCCAUUAAUUCGGUGUUGCGAGGAAUYUGGACUGKUACUUUGAAAAAAUUAGAGUGKUUAAAGCAGGCUAACGCUUGAAUACAUUAGCAUGGAAUAAUGAAAUAGGACGUUCGAUCUUAUUUUGUUGGUUUCUAAGAUUGACGUAAUGAUUAAUAGGGAUAGUUGGGGGCAUUAGUAUUCAAUUGUCAGAGGUGAAAUUCUUGGAUUUAUUGAAGACUAACUACUGCGAAAGCAUUUGCCAAGGAUGUUUUCAUUAAUCAAGAACGAAAGUUAGGGGAUCGAAGACGAUCAGAUACCGUCGUAGUCUUAACCAUAAACUAUGCCGACUAGGGAUCGGAUGAUGUUAAUUUUUUAAUGACUCAUUCGGCGCCUUACGGGAAAC